rnacentral:rRNA from 1 species
AGAGUUUGAUCAUGGCUCAGGACGAACGCUGGCGGCGUGCCUAACACAUGUAAGUCGAACGGGACUGGGGGCAACUCCAGUUCAGUGGCAGACGGGUGCGUAACACGUGAGAAACUUGUCCAUCGGUGGGGGAUAGCCGGCCCAACGGCCGGUUAAUACCGCGUACGAUCGUUUGGGGGCAUCCCUGAAUGAUGAAAGCCUUCGGGCGCCGGCGGAGAGUCUCGCGGCCUAUCAGCUAGUUGGCGGGGUAAUGGCCCACCAAGGCGACGACGGGUAGCUGGUCUGAGAGGAUGGCCAGCCACAUUGGGACUGAGACACGGCCCAGACUCCUACGGGAGGCAGCAGUGGGGAAUCUUGCGCAAUGGCCGCAAGGCUGACGCAGCGACGCCGCGUGUGGGAUGACGGCCUUCGGGUUGUAAACCACUGUCGGGAGGAACGAAUACUCGGCUUGUCCGAGGGUGACGGUACCUCCAAAGGAAGCACCGGCUAACUCCGUGCCAGCAGCCGCGGUAAUACGGAGGGUGCGAGCGUUGUCCGGAAUCACUGGGCGUAAAGGGCGCGUAGGUGGCCCGUUAAGUGGCUGGUGAAAUCCCGCGGCUCAACUGCGGGGCUGCCGGUCAGACUGGCGAGCUAGAGCACGGUAGGGGCAGAUGGAAUUCCCGGUGUAGCGGUGGAAUGCGUAGAGAUCGGGAAGAAUACCAGUGGCGAAGGCGUUCUGCUGGGCCGUUGCUGACACUGAGGCGCGACAGCGUGGGGAGCAAACAGGAUUAGAUACCCUAGUAGUCC